GACGAACGCUGGCGGCGUGCUUAACACAUGCAAGUCGAACGGAAAGGCCCUGCUUUUGUGUGGUGCUCGAGUGGCGCACGGGUGUGUUACCCGUGAGUCACCUUCCCUUGACUUUGGGAUAUCUUCAGGAAACUGGUGCUAAUACCUGCUAGGAGCUCCUGCUGCAUGGUGGUCUUUGGACCGUUUCGGCGGUUGGGGAUGGACUCGCGGCUUAUCAGCUUGUUGGUGGGGUAGUGGCUUACCAAGGCUUUGACGGGUAGCCGGCCUGAGAGGGUGACCGGCCACAUUGGGACUGAGAUACGGCCCAGACUCCUACGGGAGGCAGCAGUGGGGAAUAUUGCACAAUGGGCGGAAGCCUGAUGCAGCAACGCCGCGUGCGGGAUGACGGCCUUCGGGUUGUAAACCGCUUUCGCCUGUGACGAAGCGUGAGUGACGGUAAUGGGUAAAGAAGCACCGGCUAACUACGUG
rnacentral:rRNA from 1 species